AUGACCUUACUGGAACUUGAUUUGUUCUAUAGGCUUUUACCACUAUAUCCUUGUGUUCUAAGGAGAUAGUAAACCAAGUCUAGUAUAUAAAACAUGGAAACAAGAUUAGAGUGUGAUUAACCACCUUCUUUCCUAUUAGGGGUCAUGGUGUUGUAAAUGAACAUUCUCAGCCUGGUCCGUUGGGCUUAAGGUGGUGUCAUAGUUGUAUGACAGACU
rfam:Capsicum annuum cultivar Zunla-1 chromosome 10, whole genome shotgun sequence